UGUACGUCAAGCAGACAGGUUCUCAGCUAAAAUUUCCUUCUUAAACCCAAUUAUGUUCAAGAAGAAUUGGAUUUCUGUCUUCAACUUCUCCUUGGAGGUCAUAAGAAGAAGCUAACCCUCUAAACAUAAUCACACUUUAAUUUCUCCGGAAACCCAUAACUUACGAUCAAAUCAAAUUUUUUCUUGAAACUUUUUCCACUCAGGCAACCGAUCAUAUUAUAUUUCCCCAAACGAGCAUCUCCUUGAGUUAGCUGACACUCAUGACACAAAAAAAAAAAACCAAGCAAGAUCAGAACCCAAAAGAGCUACUCCUUACUUUAUUAGUGGAGUCUCAUAAUAGAAUUUAUUAUCAUAACUCUUGGCAGAUUAGAAAAACUCAAACCACAUCAAGAAGCCAUAAAGGAGCUCGGAAUGUUAUAAUAUCACCUUUGCAGGCCUUCUGAUGUAAUAUGAGGCCUGAAAUGUCGAGAAACCAAAACUGAAAUCAGAACUUGAUGUAAACAAAUAUUAUUUGGGAUUCAUAUGAAUCAUGAAAACAGCAGAACUACCGUAAUGAAAAUGCAGCAUCAAAUCCAUCAUAAUGGAAUUCCAAAAACAACAUACUGCAAGUAACUAAUUGACACCAAAAGGAACAAAAUAAAAGUGGCCAUUGUUGUUUCUGAAUUUCUUUAUCUGCAGAUAUGAAUCUAUAAGUUGAAAAAUCAGUUAAAUCUUUACACAUUUGUUCAAAUAGCAUAUCUUCCACUUUGUGGCAUGCCCAGGUCUUUUAUGGGUUUUCUUUUUCUCUUGCACCACUUCAAAGCAAGGAAAAUGACAUGGUUCUUCAGUGAUUUUUUUUAACAGGAAAAAGGUUAUCCAUAAAACCCUGAACCAUUUUCCGGUCUUUUCAAAUUCAUGCAUAGCUAACUUGAACAUAAUGUCGAAGGAGAAGCACCUACCUCCUUCCCUCCUUACCAGAGCAAAGUGACCAGAGACUCUAAUACAUUACAAACUAAAUUAUAUAAUUUACGUAAAUAUAUAAUUUAUACCAUUGAUCAGAAAAUAAAUAUAAGAGAUAGCAAAAAGAAAAAAGUACAUAGACAAACAAAUGGGAGCUAGGGAGACCCGAACCAAUUUAUAUAUUAAUAUUCCGUCUGAUCUCCUAAUUCCCCCAAAAUCAAAAAGAACGUGAGUUUUAUUGCACUUUUUGACCUGUCAUGCGAGCGCGCCCACCAUGGCAAAGGUCGAACAUGUAAAUUAUAUAAUUUACAUAAAUAUAUAAUUUAUACCCAUGGCAAAGGUCGAACAUGUAAAUUAUAUAAUUUACAUAAAUAUAUAAUUUAUACUAUUGGUCCAAAAAUAAAUAUAAAAAUUAGGGCAAAAAAAAAAAAUACACAGACAAAAAUCAGAGAUAGUAAGAGUUUACCAAAAUAAUAUUUUAAUAUCCCGUGCCAAGCCAAUUUAUAUAUUAAUAUCCUGUCCCGUCUAGCAAUCCCAGCAAAACCAAAAGAAAAACGUGAGUUUUAUUAUGCUUUUUGACCUGCCAUGCAAUCGCACUUACCAUAGAAGAGGUCAAACAUGUAAAUUAUAUAAUUUACAUAAGUACAUAAUUUAUACUAUUGGUUAGAAAAUAAAUAUAAAAAAUAAGAAAGAGAAAAAAAUACACAGGUAGACAAAUAGGAGAUAGGAGAGCCAAGCCAAAAUAAUAUAUUAAUAUCUCAUACCAUCUACCAAUCCCCUCAAACCCAGAAAAAAAAAAUAUGAAUUUUAUUGCACUUUUUGACUUGCCAUGCGAGCGCAUCCGCCAUGGCAAAUGUCAAAAACUUAAAUUAUAUAAUUUAUAUAAACACAUAAUUUACACAAUUAGUCAAAAAUAAACUAUAAGAGUUAGAAAAUAGAUAGAAGUAUACAUACACAAAAUUUGGUGAUAGGGAAAGCCGAGCAAAAAAAUAUGUACUAAUAUCCCUUGUCAUCUCCCCAUCCCCUCAAAACAAAACAAAAUUUUAAUUUUAUUGCAUUUGUAUGGCUGACUUGCCAUGCUAGCGCACCCGUCAUAGUAAAGGUCAGACACAUAAAUUACAUAAUUUAUCUAAAUAUAUAAUUUAUACAAUUGGUCCGAAAAUAAAUAUAAGAGUUAGGAAAAAUAAAAAAGUAUGCAUGUAGACAAAUGGGAGAUAGGGAGACUCGAGCCGAAAUUGUAUGUCAAUAUCCCGUCGCAUCUCCCAAUCCCUUCAAAACUAAAAAUAGGGUGAAUUUUAUUGCAUUUUUUGACCUAUUAUAGCAGGGCACCCGCCGUGGUAAAAGUUAGAAUCAUAAAUCAUAUAAUUUACGUCAGUAUAUAAUUUACACUAGUUGUCAGAAAAUAAAUAUAAAAAUUAAAAAAAAUAAUAAUAAUACACAGGCAGACAAAUGGGAGAUGGGAAGAGCCGGGCCAAAAUAAUAUAUUAAUAUCCCGUGCCAUCUCCUCAUCCCCCCAAAACCAAAAAGACAUAAAUUUUAUUGCACUUUUUGACCUGCCAUGGGAGCGCACCCGCCAUGGCAAAGGUCAGACACGUAAAUUACAAUACUUGAUCUUGUCAAUUCUAACGACAAAUAAUUUUUUUCAUCUCACAAUUUCUCCACACAUCUCACUCUCAUUCCUUCAACACAACCAAUCAGGUAUGGAACGCCACAUAUGAGCUUUCCCAGUGCCAUAUGACCGUACGCACACUACAACACUGGAUCUCAUUGGAAUUGAAUCGUUACCAAUUCUUGAAAAACUGCAACAAAAGGAUAGAUCUCAUAAGAUCUCUAACCUGACUAGCAAAAGUUCAACUUGAUUAUUCAGAAAUCGAGUUCUUCUCUACUUUUCUUAAAUCAUAUAUCAAACUUUUGCAGGAACUACACAAUCAAUUAAUAAUUAUGUGAUGAAAACCAAUAUUGUAGCGCGCAAUUCAAAUACAAUAGUCAGAGGCAACAUUGUAAUAACUAACAGAAUAAUUCAAACUACGGUUUACUAAAAACAGGGUACCUACGGGUACAAGCAAGGAAUAUGAUAUAAAAAUUUGAAAGAAAAAUUUGAUGACAGCAAAUACAAAAAAGAAAGAGAAAGAAGCUGUUGGUUCACUUAUUUGAAUUUCUCUUCUAGCUUAGCUCUAGAAAUUUAAAGUCUUAACCUCGAAUUUGAUAGAACGCUUAUUUGAUAUUUUAACUUCAAAGAGAAAAGAAUAUAUGAAAAGAAAAGAAAAAGAACCUGCAGACUUGAUCAAGAGAAAAUAUGGAAACGAAUCAAAACAAAACAGCCACAGGAAAUAAAGCCUACUUGAGAAAAUUUUUGGAGGUAGACACAUUAGUAUUCAACAAACAAUUCCAUCUCAAUAAUACAAAAACAAAACAAAAUAUUGAUAAAUAUGGGGGAAAAAAUAAAGAUUCAUGGUCCAUGUACCUACGGUCUUGACCAAGAAAAGAUAUGAAAGGAAUCAUAACGAAACAGUCAACGAAGGAAGGAGAAAGCAAGAAGUGUUAACAACAUGUUAUAUAUCCGAAUCAGAGACUGUUCUUGAGAUGUGGAGCAACUCGAAGUUGAUGACAUCCAAUAGGAAAAGAGAGAGAUAAAAAGGGAGAUAAACGUUAUGACAAAGGAUGAUAAAUUUGAAAAAAAAAAAAAAAUUCAAGAUCCAAAACCUGUAGUCUCAAUACAAAAAAAGUAGGAAAGGAAUCAAAAUGAAAUAGCCAAUGCAGGAAAGAGAGAGAGAUGAGUGAUAACAACAUAUGAAAGAACCAAAUCAGAUACUAUUCUUGAGAUUUGGAGAAAUUCCAAGUCGAUGACAUCAAAGAUGAAAAGAGAAAGAGAAAGAGAAAAAAGGAGAUAGACACAUAAGGAUUCAAUGAACAAUUCUAUCUCAACGAUACAAUACAAAGCAAAAUAAUGAUAAAUUUGAAAAAGAAAGAAAAAAAUCAGAACAACACAUUGCAAAAAGUUAAACAAACCAUAUAACGGUUGAGGUAGCAAGCUGCAAAAUGCCAUUUAAUAUCCACCAAACAGACAAAUGAGAAGAAAUUGUUAGAACAGAUCAACAACCAAGAAAGAGGUUCUUUUUAGAAAACAAAUCUUCCAGCAAAUUAAGGAUCAUUAAACAGUCUUUCGCCUGGCUUUUUUUGCAUGCUCUUGCUUUCCUAGGAACAAAAAGUGAGCUAUUAAGCACGCAUUCUAACAGUCCAGAACAUAAUCAACUAGCAACCAAAAGGCCUAAAGGCAUAUUAUAUUAGCCUUUGCACAGGCAGAUUUUCCAGUAACACAGAAUACAUGCAAAUCAACUCACACACUUUUGAGUUUCCUACAUCCUAUUAGAUAGAGUCAAUGGAGCAUGCCAACACACUGGAUAAUGUAGGUGAUCAAUGAAAAGCAAGAAAAGAACUCAUGUAAUAACAUCCAAUGCAAACAAAAAGUGGUCAAGGCAUACAAACAUGCACUUUGAUAGACUGUUCAAAUUACGUAUUCAUUUACCACAAAUAUUCAUAGAUUCUUCAAGAAUAAGUAUGCACGUAUACUACAGUCACACAGCAACCAGCAAAAUUCCCUUAUUGCAUCACCAACCGAUUGUGAGUAACAAAUACAUGAAGAACGGUGAAAUUUUAAAAGAAAACUGGCAAAAAGGAAAAAAAAACAAAAAAUCAAAUAUGAACAGCAAAAGAAAACUGGGCAAUAGAUGCCUCCCUGCCUCUCACACAUUUCUCAUAUUUCCUUCAAAUUUCAUGUUCAACCGAAGAAAAAAAGUUCCAGGAAAAACCAAAAGAAUACCUAUAGGAUUUAUGCAAAUAAAUAUACAUACCGGCUUAAUCACCAGUAUUAACAAAGCACAAAAGCAACAAACAUUAAAAUCGAUCCUAACCAUUCAAUUUUAAAUUUAUGUCCAACAAUGGCACUACAGCAGCAUAAGAAUGCAUCUUAGAGUUGAAGAGCAUAGAGAAUAAGGUCAGUAAGGAGCCUUCCUUCUCAGAAGCAGAAGAAGAAGAUAAAUCCAAAAGAUGAGAUUUGUAGCAUACCAACAAUUCCUCCACACCAUCUCAAGACCUGGAUAUAAACUUCUACACGAACUCCUUUUCUGUCAAAAGAACCACCUCAUAAAAACUCAAGUCCUCUCUGCUACAACUUAAUCAACCUCAAAACCUGCAAAACCCUGCAACAAAGAAAGAUUCUAUCUUAAAAACUGUACAUCAAGCAGACAGGUUCUCAGCCAAAAUUUCCUUCGUAAACCCCAUUAUGUUCAAGGACAAUUGAAUUUCUGUCUUCAACUUCUCCUUGGAGGUCAUAAGAAGAAGCUUACCCUCUAAACAUAGUCACACUUUAAUUUCUCCGGAAACCCAUAACUUACAAUCAAAUCAAAUUUUUUCUUGAAACUUUUUCCGCUCAGGCAACUGAUCAUUUUAUAUUGCCCAAACGAGCAUAUCCUUGAGUUAACUGAAACUCAUGACACAAAAAAAAAAAAAAAGAACCAAGCAAGAUCAGAACCCAAAAGAGCUACUCCUCGA
rnacentral:lncRNA from 1 species